rnacentral:ncRNA from 2 species
GCAUACGUACAGGGGAGCUAGUUGCAACUGGCUGAGAGUGUAUUGUGAUAAAUACAGACCCUUAUACCUGAUCUGGAUAAUGCCAGCGUAGGAAAGUAACAAGUCGUUAUAU